rnacentral:rRNA from 1 species
AGUGAACGCUGGCGGUAGGCCUAACACAUGCAAGUCGAACGGCAGCACAGUAAGAGCUUGCUCUUACGGGUGGCGAGUGGCGGACGGGUGAGGAAUACAUCGGAAUCUACUUUUUCUUGGGGGAUAACGUAGGGAAACUUACGCUAAUACCGCAUACGACCUACGGGUGAAAGCAGGGGAUCUUCGGACCUUUCGCGAUUGAAUGAGCCGAUGUCGGAUUAGCUAGUUGGCGGGGUAAAGGCCCACCAAGGCGACGAUCCGUAGCUGGUCUGAGAGGAUGAUCAGCCACACUGGAACUGAGACACGGUCCAGACUCCUACGGGAGGCAGCAGUGGGGAAUAUUGGACAAUGGGCGCAAGCCUGAUCCAGCCAUACCGCGUGGGUGAAGAAGGCCUUCGGGUUGUAAAGCCCUUUUGUUGGGAAAGAAAAGCAGCAGGUUAAUACCCCGCUGUUCUGACGGUACCCAAAGAAUAAGCACCGGCUAACUUCGUG